GUUCCUACGGGGGGCAGCAGUGGGGAAUAUUGCACAAUGGGGGAAACCCUGAUGCAGCGACGCCGCGUGAAGGACGAAGUAUUUCGGUACGUAAACUUCUAUCAGCAGGGAAGAAAAUGACGGUACCUGACUAAGAAGCCCCGGCCAACUACGUGCCAGCAGGCGCGGUAAUACGCAGGGGGCACGCGUUAUCCGGAUUUACUGGGUGUAAAGGGAGUGUAGACGGAGGAGCAAGUCUGAUGUG
rnacentral:rRNA from 1 species